rnacentral:rRNA from 1 species
UACGGAGGGUGCAAGCGUUAUCCGGAUUUAUUGGGUUUAAAGGGUCCGUAGGCGGGCUUAUAAGUCAGUGGUGAAAGCCGGCAGCUUAACUGUCGAACUGCCAUUGAUACUGUAAGUCUUGAGUAAAUUUGAAGUGGCUGGAAUAAGUAGUGUAGCGGUGAAAUGCAUAGAUAUUACUUAGAACACCAAUUGCGAAGGCAGGUCACUAAGAUUUAACUGACGCUGAUGGACGAAAGCGUGGGGAGCGAACAGG